GACGAACGCCGGCGGCGUGCUUAACACUUGCAAGUCGAACGGAAAGGCCCUGCUUUUGUGGGGUGCUCGAGUGGCGAACGGGUGAGUAACACGUGAGUAACCUGCCCUUGACUUUGGGAUAACUUCAGGAAACUGGGGCUAAUACCGGAUAGGAGCUCCUGCUGCAUGGUGGGGGUUGGAAAGUUUCGGCGGUUGGGGAUGGACUCGCGGCUUAUCAGCUUGUUGGUGGGGUAGUGGCUUACCAAGGCUUUGACGGGUAGCCGGCCUGAGAGGGUGACCGGCCACAUUGGGACUGAGAUACGGCCCAGACUCCUACGGGAGGCAGCAGUGGGGAAUAUUGCACAAUGGGCGGAAGCCUGAUGCAGCAACGCCGCGUGCGGGAUGACGGCCUUCGGGUUGUAAACCGCUUUCGCCUGUGACGAAGCGUGAGUGACGGUAAUGGGUAAAGAAGCACCGGCUAACUACGUG
rnacentral:rRNA from 1 species